rnacentral:rRNA from 1 species
CACCAGACUCCUACGGGAGGCAGCAGUGGGGAAUAUUGGGCAAUGGGCGCAAGCCUGACCCAGCAACGCCGCGUGAAGGAAGAAGGCUUUCGGGUUGUAAACUUCUUUUAAGAGGGAAGAGAAGAAGACGGUACCUCUUGAAUAAGCCACGGCUAACUACGUGCCAGCAGCCGCGGUAAUACGUAGGUGGCAAGCGUUGUCCGGAUUUACUGGGUGUAAAGGGAGCGUAGGCGGGACUGCAAGUUGGGUGUCAAAUCUACCGGCUCAACCGGUAGCCGCACUCAAAACUGCAGUUCUUGAGUGAAGUAGAGGCAGGCGGAAUUCCUAGUGUAGCGGUGAAAUGCGUAGAUAUUAGGAGGAACACCAGUGGCGAAGGCGGCCUGCUGGGCUUUUACUGACGCUGAGGCUCGAAAGUGUGGGGAGCAAACAGGAUUAGAUACCCUCGUA